GAUGAACGCUGGCGGCGUGCCUAAUACAUGCAAGUCGAGCGAACGGACGAGAAGCUUGCUUCUCUGAUGUUAGCGGCGGACGGGUGAGUAACACGUGGAUAACCUACCUAUAAGACUGGGAUAACUUCGGGAAACCGGAGCUAAUCCCGGAUAAUAUUUUGAACCGCAUGGUUCAAAAGUGAAAGACGGUCUCGCUGUCACUUAUAGAUGGAUCCGCGCUGCAUUAGCUAGUUGGUAAGGUAACGGCUUACCAAGGCAACGAUGCAUAGCCGACCUGAGAGGAUGAUCGGCCACACUGGAACUGAGACACGGUCCAGACUCCGACGGGAGGCAGCAGUAGGGAAUCUUCCGCAAUGGGCGAAAGCCUGACGGAGCAACGCCGCGUGAGUGAUGAAGGUCUUCGGAUCGUAAAACGCUGUUAUUAGGGAAAAACAUAUGUGUAAGUAACUGUGCACAUCUUGACGGUACCUAAGCAGAAAGCCACGGCUAACUACGUG
rnacentral:rRNA from 1 species